GUCCAGACUCCUACGGGAGGCAGCAGUGGGGGAUAUUGCACAAUGGGGGGAACCCUGAUGCAGCGACGCCGCGUGGGUGAAGAAGCGCCUCGGCGCGUAAAGCCCUGUCAGCAGGGAAGAAAAUGACGGUACCUGAAGAAGAAGCCCCGGCUAACUACGUGCCAGCAGCCGCGGUAAUACGUAGGGGGCAAGCGUUAUCCGGAUUUACUGGGUGUAAAGGGAGCGUAGACGGUAUGGCAAGUCUGAAGUGAAAGCCCAGGGCUUAACCCUGGGACUGCUUUGGAAACUGUUAGACUAGAGUGCUGGAGAGGUAAGUGGAAUUCCUAGUGUAGCGGUGAAAUGCGUAGAUAUUAGGAGGAACACCAGUGGCGAAGGCGGCUUACUGGACAGUAACUGACGUUGAGGCUCGAAAGCGUGGGGAGCAAACAGGAUUAGAUACCCUUGUA
rnacentral:rRNA from 1 species